UACGUAGGGUCCGAGCGUUGUCCGGAAUUAUUGGGCGUAAAGGGCUCGUAGGCGGUUCGUCACGUCGGGAGUGAAAACUCGGGGCUUAACCCCGGGCCUGCAGUGGGUACGGGCAGACUAGAGUGCGGUAGGGGAGACUGGAAUUCCGUGGUGUAGCGGUGAAAUGCGCAGAUAUCAGGAGGAACACCAGCGGCGAAGGCGGCGCUCUGGGCCGGAACUGACGCUGGAGGAGCGAAAGCGUGGGUAGCAAACAGG
rnacentral:rRNA from 1 species